rnacentral:rRNA from 1 species
AUUGAACGCUGGCGGCAUGCCUUACACAUGCAAGUCGAACGGUAACGGGCCUUCGGGUGCCGACGAGUGGCGAACGGGUGAGUAAUACAUCGGAACGUGCCCGAUCGUGGGGGAUAACGAGGCGAAAGCUUUGCUAAUACCGCAUACGAUCUACGGAUGAAAGCAGGGGACCGCAAGGCCUUGCGCGGACGGAGCGGCCGCUGGCAGAUUAGGUAGUUGGUGGGAUAAAAGCUUACCAAGCCGACGAUCUGUAGCUGGUCUGAGAGGAUGAUCAGCCACACGGGGACUGAGACACGGCCCAGACUCCUACGGGAGGCAGCAGUGGGGAAUUUUGGACAAUGGGCGCAAGCCUGAUCCAGCCAUGCCGCGUGCAGGAUGAAGGCUCUCGGGUUGUAAACUGCUUUUGUACGGAACGAAAAGCCUUCUUUUAAUACAGGAGGGUCAUGACGGUACCGUAAGAAUAAGCACCGGCUAACUACGG